rnacentral:rRNA from 1 species
UACGAGGGGGGCGAGCGUUGUUCGGAAUUAUUGGGCGUAAAGGGUGCGUAGGCGGUUUUGUAAGUCUUAUGUGAAAUCUACAGGCUCAACUUGUAGUCUGCAUGAGAAACUGCAGGGCUUGAGUAUGGGAGAGGUGAGUGGAAUUCCUGGUGUAGCGGUGAAAUGCGUAGAUAUCAGGAGGAACACCUGUGGCGAAAGCGGCUCACUGGACCAUAACUGACGCUGAUGCACGAAAGCUAGGGGAG